rnacentral:rRNA from 1 species
GUCUUUUUGAUUAUAAUUUAAAGUCUAGCCUGCCCAAUGAAUUAUUCAAUGGCCGCAGUAUUUUAACUGUGCGAAGGUAGCAUAAUAAUUAGUUUUUUAAUUGAGAACUGGUAUGAAUGGUUGGACGAGGAAAAAGCUGUCUCGAUUUAAAUUUAAUUAGAAUUUUAUUUUUAAGUUAAAAAGCUUAAAUAUAUUUGAAAGACGAGAAGACCCUAUAGAGUUUUAUAUUUUAUUAUUAUUUAAUAUAUAAAGAAUUUAAAGGAUUUUAUUUUAAAAUAAUAUUUAAUUGGGGUGAUUUAAAAAUUAAAUAAACUUAUUAUUUUUUUUACCAUUGAUAUAUGAAAAAUUGAUCCAUUGUUUAUGAUUAAAAGAUUAAAUUACCUUAGGGAUAACAGCGUAAUUUUUUUUUAAAGUUCUUAUUGAAAAAGAAGUUUGCGACCUCGAUGUUGGAUUAAAAUAAACUUUUGGCGCAGUAGCUAUAAAGGUUGGGUCUGUUCGACCUUUAAAAUUUUACA